rnacentral:lncRNA from 1 species
UAAAAAGUUAGAAUUAAUAUAUAUAAUAUUUAUAGACCGAAUUAUAAAAAGUUAUGAUUAAUAUAUGUAAUAUUUAUAGACUGGGUGCAGGCAAAGUUUUUCUAUAAAUGAGGAGUGGGUAGGGAAGAAAUCAUUCGAUACGUCGGGUCUAUACUUGUAUUUAACAUCAUACUGAUAAAUCCACAUUGCUGGAACCUAAGGCCUAUAAUAUUUAAUACAUAAACUUAUUAUAAAAUAUAAAUUAUAUUUAUUAAAUUAUAUUUAAUUUUAAAUUGAAAAAAUAGAUUUGAUGUAUAUUAUAUUUGUGUAGACAGGGUGCAUUCAAAUUUUUUAAAAAGAGAGAAAAAAGCUUGUGU